GAGACGACUCCAUGUUUUUCUUUCAGUCUAUGAAUGAAUAUAACGUCGCCCGGUUGGAAUAUUAUCGCUAUUUUACGAGAAAAAUAGCAUAAAAAUUUAUUUUAAACAGCGUUUGACAUGCUUCGAAGUACGGUAAUGGAAUAUUUUGAUUUUUUUUGUCACGAAAUGCACCGGCGCGUCACCCUUCGGAUAGUGACCUCAACGCAUGAACAAAACGGAGCUAUUUCAAUAUAACUAUGGAUUAUUUCGAACCAAAACAACAUUUGUUGUUGAAGUAAAAGUCCUGGGAGUGCAUUCUGACAAAGAACAGGAAAGAAGUGCCUUCUGAUAAAGAUAAUCAAAGGUCGCUGAGGCACUGUUCCAGCAGGUUUUCCAGCACUAUGGACUUCUGGAGGACAUCGUCUCCGAACAUGGCCCCCAGUUCACGCAGCGGGUAUGGUGAGCCUUCAUGGAGAAGCUGGGGGUCACGGUCAGCCUUACAUUCAGUGCUUCCUGGGUUACCAGCCGGCCCUGGCCCUGUGGACCCCGAGCUAGACCCUGUGGUGGACGAGUGGUUCCGGCGCGCAAAGGAGGUCUGGAGCCUUGCCCACGUGAGGCUCCAAUGCGCUGUCUGCCGACAGAAGGAGCAGGCGAACCGCUACCGCAGUGAGGUCCCGUGUUCCAAACCACCAGUAACCUCCUACUCCGCCUGCCCUGCUGGAAGCUGAGCCCCUG
rnacentral:lncRNA from 1 species